UACGUAGGGGGCUAGCGUUGUCCGGAAUCAUUGGGCGUAAAGAGCGCGUAGGCGGCUAGAUAAGUCCGGUGUGAAAGUCACAGGCUCAACCUGUGAAUGCCGCUGGAAACUGUCUGGCUAGAGUCCGGAAGGGGCGAGUGGAAUUCCUGGUGUAGCGGUGAAAUGCGCAGAUAUCAGGAGGAACACCAGUGGCGAAGGCGAGUCCCUGGACAACACCUGACACUGAGGCACGAAAGCUAGGGGAGCAAACAGG
rnacentral:rRNA from 1 species